rnacentral:tRNA from 1 species
AUAGAACUACAGUCCAAGGGCCUUCAAAGUCCUAAGCGAGGGUGAAAAUCCCCCAGCCCCCGGCCUA